AGUUCAGAGGCUAUUGAAAUGCUCCAGCCCUAUAUUAGGUAUUGAGGGUUCAGGGAUGAACUAAGCUGAUCUGGUUCCUGCUCUCUAGGCUGUAGAAGAUGGCAAGUGCUGUGGACUUCAAAGAAAAGAUUUCUGAAGUGUCAUGUUAUGACAAUUGUGCAUCCAAGAUACAUUGGUUGUUUGCUUAACCAUCGUUUUCGCAUGUGCCAUCUGUCAAAGUCUGGAAGAAACCUAAGAUGUGUUGCAUUAAAUUUGAAGAUUCCUCCUGUUCAGAAGCAAGAAACAAACAAAAUCAAUAAGUACUCAUUAAUUAAGAAAACAGAGCAUUAUUAUGAAAUCAUACACAUGGAAAACUUAUCAACAAUAAAAAUAACGACAAACACCAUUACAUUCUCCUUUAUAGGAGACAAACAGUAUAAACCCCAAGGAAGAGUGAUUUCUCUAUGAUCUAGUAAGUUCUAAAAAUUAAAGUCCAACUAACUUUAAGGUA
ensembl:lncRNA novel transcript, antisense to C18orf34